rnacentral:rRNA from 1 species
UACGUAGGGUGCGAGCGUUGUCCGGAAUUACUGGGCGUAAAGAGCUCGUAGGUGGUUUGUCGCGUUGUUCGUGAAAACUCACAGCUCAACUGUGGGCGUGCGGGCGAUACGGGCAGACUGGAGUACUGCAGGGGGAGACUGGAAUUCCUGGUGUAGCGGGUGGAAUGCGCAGAUAUCAGGAGGAACACCGGUGGCGAAGGCGG